UACGUAGGGUGCAAGCAUUAAUCGGAAUUAUUGGGCGUAAAGGGCGCGUAGGCGGAAGGUUAAGUCAGAUGUGAAAUUCCAAAGCUCAACUUUGGGGCUGCAUUUGAAACUGUCCUUCUCAGAGGUAAGACGGAGAAAGCGGAAUUCCACGUGUAGCGGUGAAAUGCGUAGAUAUGUGGAAGAACACCUGUGGCGAAAGCGGCUUUCUAGUCUAUACCUGACGCUGAGGCGCGAGAGCAAGGGGAGCAAACAGG
rnacentral:rRNA from 1 species